rnacentral:rRNA from 1 species
UGGGGAAUUUUGCACAAUGGGGGAAACCCUGAUGCAGCGACGCCGCGUGAUUUAGAAGGCCUUCGCGUUGUAAAAAUCUUUUUUAUGGGAUGAAAAUGACAGUACCAUAAGAAUAAGGUCCGGCUAAAUACGUGCCAGCAGCCGCGGUAAUACGUAUGGACCGAGCGUUGUCCGGAAUCAUUGGGCGUAAAGGGUACGUAGGCGGCCCAGUAAGUUAGAAGUGAAAUAAUAUAGCUCAACUAUAUAAAGCUUUUAAAACUGCUAGGCUUGAGAGAUGGAAGGGAAAGUGGAAUUCCUAGUGUAGCGAUGAAAUGCGCAGAUAUUAGGAAGAAUACCGGUGGCGAAGGCGACUUUCUGGUCAUCAUCUGACGCUGAGGUACGAAAGCGUGGGUAGCAAACAGG